rnacentral:rRNA from 1 species
AUCUUCGGACCUCUCGCUAAUAGAUGAGCCUAGGCCGGAUUAGCUAGUUGGUAGGGUAAAGGCCUACCAAGGCGACGAUCUGUAGCUGGUCUGAGAGGAUGGCCAGCCACACUGGAACUGAGACACGGUCCAGACUCCUACGGGAGGCAGCAGUGGGGAAUAUUGGACAAUGGGCGCAAGCCUGAUCCAGCAAUGCCGCGUGUGUGAAGAAGGCCUUCGGGUUGUAAAGCACUUUUAUCAGGAACGAAAAGCGUUGGAUUAAUACUCUGACGUGCUGACGGUACCUGAGGAAUAAGCACCGGCUAACUUCGUG